CGAAUAUUGACUCUUUCAAUCCCUAUUUCAUUUGUAGGGUUAACUCCUGACUUCUCAGAUCUCCGAAUACAUGAAUAAAUCUCUGGUUCAUUCCGCCAUCCCGACCGGUGAAUCAUUAAGAUUCCUUUUUCAAUAGAAUCUUUUGCAUUCACAAGUUCCGUCGUUCCCAUCACUUCUUACUUAAUGGUUAGGUCCGAAUUCUACAAU
rnacentral:lncRNA from 1 species